AGAGUUUGAUCAUGGCUCAGGAUGAACGCUGGCGGCAGGCUUAAUACAUGCAAGUUGAACGGUAACAUGUUGUAGCAAUACGAUGAUGACGAGUGGCGCACGGGUGCGUAACACGUGUGUAACCUACCUUAUACAGGAACAUAACGUUGAGAAAUCGGCGCUAACAUUCCAUAAUAUUAUUUGUAGGCAUCUAUGAAUAAUUAAAACUCCGGUGGUAUAAGAUGGGCACGCGUUCCAUUAGCUAGUUGGUAAGGUAACGGCUUACCAAGGCAACGAUGGAUAGGGGUUCUGAGAGGAUAAUCCCCCACACUGGAACUGAGACACGGUCCAGACUCCUACGGGAGGCAGCAGUAAGGAAUAUUGGGCAAUGGAGGCAACUCUGACCCAGCCAUGCCGCGUGCAGGAAGACGGCCCUAUGGGUUGUAAACUGCUUUUAAUAGGGAUUAAAGUCGACUACGUGUAGUUGUUUGCAAGUACCUAUAGAAUAAGCAUCGGCUAACUCCGUGCCAGCAGCCGCGGUAAUACGGAGGAUGCAAGCGUUAUCCGGAUUUAUUGGGUUUAAAGGGUGCGCAGGCGGACUAAUAAGUCAGUGGUGAAAUUUACAUGCUUAACAUGUGACGUGCCAUUGAUACUGUUAGACUAGUAUACAAAUGACGUAUCUGGAAUGUGUUAUGUAG
rnacentral:rRNA from 1 species